rnacentral:lncRNA from 12 species
GAGCCCUUUGCGACAGGCAAGCAGGAGGAUGAGGAGGUGAACCACGUGGGUUCUAGAAUGAUGGGUGUGAACCUGGCAGAGCCACUCACCAGCUGGGUUGCCUGGAACGAGGUAUCUCACCUCUCAGCACUUCCGCUUCCUCUUGCACAAAGGGCAGGUAGUAGGAUAGGUCUUGUUAAAAUGAUUUCUAGGGCACCUGGGUGGCUCGGUUGGUUGGGCGUCUGCCUUCAGCCCAGGUCAUGGUCCCAAGGUCCUGGGAUGAGUCCCGCUUCAGGAACCCUGCCCAGCGAGGAGCCCACUUCUCCCUCUCCUUUUGCCUGCUACUCUGCCUGCUUGUGCUCACUCUCUCUCACUCUCUGUUGGAUAAAUAAUAAAAUCUUUAAAAAUAUGAUUUCUGUUUUACAGAUGAAGAAGAAACCAAGACUUGGAAAAAUUGGACUAGAAAUGGUGCAUGAGAUUCAACAAUGAAGCAGGAGCAUUCGGUACUCAGCCAGCAGCCUGGGAUCAGGGACAUGGACGCCCUCUUGGUACACGCCUGAGGGUCAUGGCCAGAGCCUGCUUGCUAGCCCCAACUCCAGGGGGUCCUUCUGGACCUGGGAAUGGACCACCACGGUGACCUACAAGAGGAAGCCCUUCUAUCCAGCCCUCAUCUGCUAUCUGAGCCCAUGGUGGCCAUGGUCUGGGAAGGCCCCAAUGUGGUGGGGCCAAUGUGGUGGGGCCAAUGUGGUGACUCAGCUGAGGCUGCCCCCAGCACCAUCAUGAGGAUGUCAGCAUCCACCUCAGCAAGAGCAUCGUCCACACCAGUGACUCCAUGAAGGAGGGUCAGAGGAGAUCCAGCUAUGGUUCCAGAACAAAGAGCUAGUGGACAGGGUAGAUGGACACUUCCAGAGCAGCAUCCACCCAGCCUGAGCACUCAGGCUGCCCUCAGCCACCCCAGAAGCCACCCAGGAUCAACUACCUUUGUUGACAAGGACUUGAGCCCACACCUAUGGUCUGCCCAUCUGUCCCAGACUACCUCCCUGUCCAUUUUUUUAAUGCCUUUAGUAUCCUAAGCCAGCAUGAAAUUGGACAAAAUCCUUUCUGUACCCACGUGCUAAACAAUCUUUGAGGUAUCUACAAAAGUGUGUAGUAUGACCUCCUCUCCCCCGAAGGGAGGAGCCCAGACAUUAAAUUCACUGUAUUGUGCAGGGGGGUGGAUCUCUCAUUAAAGUUUCUGCCAUCUCUGAGGUAGGGAAAAGGACUUUAUGCAAACUUAUAAGAGUUUGAGAGUUUAAAUAAAGCUUACCCUCUUUCUCUCUCUCCCCCCCUC